rnacentral:rRNA from 1 species
AAGUCGAACGAACGGAGGAAGAGCUUGCUCUUCCAAAGUUAGUGGCGGACGGGUGAGUAACACGUGGGCAACCUGCCUGUAAGUUGGGGAUAACUCCGGGAAACCGGGGCUAAUACCGAAUGAUAGAAUGUGGCGCAUGCCACGCUUUUGAAAGAUGGUUUCGGCUAUCGCUUACAGAUGGGCCCGCGGUGCAUUAGCUAGUUGGUAGGGUAAUGGCCUACCAAGGCAACGAUGCAUAGCCGACCUGAGAGGGUG